rnacentral:rRNA from 1 species
GACGUAGGAUGCAAGCGUUGUCCGGAUUUAUUGGGCGUAAAGAGUUCGUAGGUGGUUUGUUAAGUCUGAUGUUAAAGCCUGGGGCUCAACCUCGGAAAUGCAUUGGAUACUGGCAGACUUGAGUGUGGUAGAGGCAAUCGGAAUUCCAGGCGUAGCGGUGAAAUGCGUAGAUAUCUGGAAGAACACCGGUGGCGCAAGCGGAUUGCUGGGCCAUAACUGACACUGAGGAACGAAAGCUAGGGGAGCAAAUGGG